rnacentral:rRNA from 1 species
UACGUAGGGGGCUAGCGUUGCCCGGAUUUAUUGGGCGUAAAGGGCGCGUAGGCGGCUCUGCACGUCCGUUGUGAAAUCGCCCGGCUCAACUGGGCGGGGUCAGCGGAUACGGCAGAGCUUGAGCAAGCUAGGGGGCAAUGGAAUUCCCGGUGUAGUGGUGGAAUGCGUAGAUAUCGGGAGGAACACCAGUGGCGAAGGCGGUUGCCUGGGGCUUUGCUGACGCUGAUGCGCGAAAGCGUGGGGAGCGAUCCGG